UUUUUCUUUCCCAAAAUCUCCUCAAAUCAACCACUUAAUUACACCUUACUGCCACUUCAUCUUCACUCUCCUCCCAUGGCUACUCUGCAAACUCAUCUCCAGUUUCCCAUCUGUUCUUCACCAAGAUUGUUUCAUUUCAAGAACCCCAAUUCAGUUUCUUUCUCAAAAAAGCUUUUUUUCUCAAGAAAAGUUAAUGGGUUGUUUAGUUAUUCUAAAUUUGGUGCAAAAGAUUCAUUCUUUUGUUGUAGUCAAACUAGUGGUGAAAUUUUACCCCUUUCAUCAGCUCAGAAGGAGAAGGAGACUAGUGAAAGGCCUCCUUUUGAUAUCAAUUUGGCUGUCAUUCUUGCUGGUUUUGCUUUUGAAGCUUAUACUAGUCCUCCAGACAAUGUCGGAAAGCUUGAGGUGGAUGCGGCUAAUUGCAAAACCAUAUUUCUUUCAGAGUCAUUUGUGCGUGAAAUUUAUGAUGGCCAGUUGUUCAUAAAGCUAAAGAAAGGUCUCAAUUUACCUGCUAUGGAUCUUUGGGGAACGAGUGAUCCGUAUGUGGUGUUACAGCUAGAUAGUCAAGUUGUCAAAAGCAAGGUGAAAUGGGGGACAAAAGAGCCAAUGUGGAAUGAGGAGUUUGCUUUAAAUAUUAAGCAGCCACCUCUGUAUGAUCUUCAGAUUGCAGCUUGGGAUGCAAAUCUGGUGACUCCACAUAAACGCAUGGGAAAUGCAGCAGUUAAUUUGGAACAUCUCUGUGAUGGAGAUUCUCAUAAACUGCUGGUUGAUUUGGAUGGAAUGGGCGGUGGUGGGAAGAUAGAGAUAGAGAUUAAGUACAAGAGUUUUGAGAAAAUUGAAGAAGAAAAGAAGUGGUGGAACAUCCCAAUCAUUACAGAAUUUCUAAGAAAAAACGGGUUUGAGUCUGCUUUGAAGACAAUUCUUGGUUCCGAGACUGUUCAAGCUCGACAAUUUGUACAGUUUGCGUUUGGACAGAUGAAGCUACUUAAUGAUGCAUAUAAUGAUUCAAAUAGCAGCAGCAGUCCUGUCCUGGAAUCAGAUGUACUACCGGAGUCGCAGCAAUCAUCCAACUUGGAUGACUCAAGCAUGCCCCCAGCAUCAGAAAUCUCAAAUAAUUUGAAAGACACCAAAGUUGAUGGUGAAGUGAAGCUUAAUCGUGAUGGAAGUGACGUAACCGAUGAACAUGAUUCCCCUGGUACUAAAAUUUUAGAGAGCUUUCAAUCAGAUAAACAUUUCUGGAAGAAUUUUGCUGAUACCGUCAAUCAAAAAGUUGUUCAAAGACUUGGUCUCCCUGCUCCUGAGAAAAUAAAGUGGGAUAAUCUUGACUUGUUAAAUAAGAUUGGAUUGCAAUCACGAAAAGACGCGGAUGCAAGUUAUGUUGAAUCUGGUCUUGCAACUCCUGAUAAACGAGAAAAUGUUAAUGGUAGUGCAUCAACUGAAUCACCUAUUCUUAAUAACAUUCAGUCAUCACUUCCAGAUAUCAAGAAGGUGACACAAGACUUAUUGCGUCAAACUGAUACCAUUUUGGGAGCAUUGAUGGUUCUAAAUGCCACAGUUUCUCAAUUCAACAAAGGAGCAGGCCUUUUCGGAAAGGGUGAUGCUAAAGAAGAUUCUUCAACUGGACUGGAAAAUGACAUCCUUUUAUAUCCCAUGAAUAAAGAUGGAAUAGUGUUGGAUGAGAAGAAAGCUGAGGAGAUGAAGUCUCUUUUCUCAACAGCGGAGACUGCCAUGGAAGCUUGGGCACUGCUAGCUACUUCAUUGGGACAUCCGACAUUCAUCAAAUCUGAAUUUGACAAAUUAUGCUUCUUAGAUAAUGAGUCAACUGACACAGAGGUAGCGCUCUGGCGUGAUUCAGCAAGGAAACGGUUAGUUGUUGCUUUCAGGGGAACAGAACAAACAAAAUGGAAGGAUCUUGUGACGGACUUGAUGCUAGUUCCUGCAGGGUUGAAUCCUGAAAGGAUAGGCGGGGACUUCAAGGAAGAAGUUCAGGUUCACAGUGGUUUCCUAAGUGCAUAUGAUUCAGUUAGGAUUAGGCUCAUCUCGCUUAUCAAAAAAGCAAUUGGCUACCAGGAUGAUGAUCUUGACACGCCAAACAAAUGGCAUGUUUACGUGACUGGCCAUAGUCUUGGUGGUGCAUUGGCUACUCUUCUCGCUCUUGAACUAUCAUCAAGUCAACUAGCUAAGCGUGGAGCUAUACGUGUGACCAUGUACAACUUUGGAUCUCCAAGAGUUGGAAACAAAAAGUUUGCUGAAGUUUAUAAUGAGAAAGUUAAGGACAGCUGGAGGGUUGUAAAUCACAGAGAUAUAAUACCAACAGUUCCUCGCUUGAUGGGCUACUGCCAUGUUGCUCAACCUGUUUAUUUGGCAGCUGGAGAUCCGCAAAACACAAUGGAUAAUGUGGAACUCUUGGAAGAUGGUUACCAAGGUGAUGUUAUCGGAGAGGCCACACCUGAUGUUAUUGUCAGUGAAUUUAUGAAAGGUGAAAAAGAACUUAUUGAGAAAAUACUGAACACAGAGAUUAACAUAUUUCUAGCAAUUAGAGAUGGAAGUGCACUUAUGCAGCACAUGGAAGACUUCUAUUACAUCACUCUAUUAGAGAAUGUGAGAUCAAACUACAGAACUGUUCCAAGGCCACAACUGACAGAAGAGAAGAACAUAUCGAUUGGCUAAAAUGGAAAUUAUCCAAAUUCAUUAAUGUUGAUGUUUUAAUUUCCAAAGGUUGUAAAUA
rnacentral:misc_RNA from 1 species